CUUUCUUCCACGGGGAUUUCCAUCCACUUAAUAUGGCAUCUCGUCGUCUUUUACCGCUGUGUCUCUGCCUCGUCUGUUGCCUAGCCAUCGCCUACUGUAAAAAAAUCGACUUUAAGUUUUGUGUUGUACAGCAUCCGAUUUCCAAAUAAUAUUAAACAGACAUUGUGGACUAAUAACCACUACAAAUGGUGAUUCAAAUGCAAUAGAGACGAGCUCAAAGGCCAAAAGUUUCUUUCGUGGUAGAAUGCUCAAGCGCAGUGCAAGUGUAGAACCCUCCAGACCAACAGAUUACUACGAAGAGUGUUGUAACGAGGGAUGCACAAAAGAAGAGGUUCUAGAAUACUGCUAAAAAUGUCCUCUCGACCACAGUAUGCAAUGCAUGAAUAAAAUGAAUUUUUAUUUAUUAGAUAACUAAUUUGCCUGAAGUUUGGACUCAGAUUGAAAGCUAACAAACUCAAGGCUAACCUUGAGCAACAAGAUCUUUAUAACUAGUGCUAAAAGUUGAUUAAACUUUAAAAAUUCAUCUGUUAA